rnacentral:lncRNA from 1 species
CAGCCGCAGAGAGAAGAAGCUGCCCAAGAAUGGAAAGGAAGAAAUAUAUCACAUCAUCUGUCUGUCCACAGGCUUUCCUUGGGGCUUAUGAAGGUAUUUUAGAAUUUUUAUAUUGGCAUUUUUCAGGGGAGAUAAAGGUGAACCCUCAAGGGCAGUCAGGCAUCAGUCUUGAAAGUUUGGGCUUCCUUGUUGGUACACUAACCUGACUUUAAUAGCUUUCUUAUUUAGUCAAUAAUCAAGGUUACUAUCAACGACUUUGUUUUUAGGAUUGAAGUUGUCAUGUAUGAUAUUGUCAGGUGUAUUGCUGUGCAUUCAGUGACCUUUUGCUAUUUUGAAUUGGGGCUAGUUAUUGAUUUUUCUCUUUUUUUAGCUUAGUUUCUGAUAAAUUCUUUAAUGCAUAUUUUGGUAUUUGUACCUUAUAAGUAUGAACCCAGAAAGCAAAAUUCAAGUAUCCUUAGCUAUUUCUAACAAAAUGCAUUUUAGAAAAUGAUAAGGUUUGCAGUUGGAGUCUUAGCUUUAUUUAUAUUCAUAAGCCUUUCAUCUUUAUACAUACU